GGGAGCUCGGGGCGAGCGGCCAGGGCCUGAGCCUCUGCUCCAACGCGGUUCUCAUAGAGCCGCGCCGUAAUUACCCAGAGCCGUAACUGUCUCCGAAAUUAUUCAUUAAAGUCAUUCUCGGCGAUCUCACGGCGCCCGGGCUUACAUUUACGGCCCUUGCACCGGCAGGGCGUGCCAACGCCUCUCGCCCCGCGCCCCGGCGGUGUGCUCUCAGUAGCGGGAGGGGGGGGGGGGGGGGGGGGCUCCCUCUCGCCCCGCUCGCGGUGUUUGGCUGCUCGGGGCUCGGCCGCUUUCCCCCUUUUGGAGGAGGCGCGCCGUGCAGCCCGGCAGACACCCUGGGAGCGAGGAGGGUAUUUUGGGGAGUUGCAGUGUUGUGCGGAAGAUCAUGUCUGUGCCCUGUGGUGCUGUCAGCAGUGACAGAUCCCAGACGCAGCCGCUACUGUAUGGCAGAUUGAGUUUCUCAGCAGAAAACUCUCCCUCCCUCCCUCCCUCCUGAACGUCUUCAAAAACCUUCUCCAGAUACUGCGGGUCACUCGGGCUCCAGCGGAGAGAGAAAAGGGGAAAAAGCCUUCCCGGUCUCCCACCUUCUCAUCCUCUCGCCGGCUCUUCCUGGGGCGCGGGGGGGGCCGUGCCCUACCCUCCUCCCGGCCCCUCCGCCCCCCCAGCCGGGGUGCUCUCAGCCCCCCGAUCGCCUCCAGCGCGCUCAGAGCCCGCAGCGGGUCGUCUUCUUCAGGCCCGCAUCUGGACUGGGGAGCGGAGAUGAUGGAGAGCAAGGAAUCAGCCACAAGCAGGCUGCUUCCCAGGCAAUACUGGACGGGUUGCCCCGUGCCUGCCAGCAGUGGCUCUAGGCAGUGCUGUCAGUAACACAGUGUUGUACGUAAAGCUGGGAGCACCGAGUCUCACACGGUUGUAUUUACUCAACAAAGCUCCCAUUUGCCUCUGGGAGAAUUCUGCCUAUGUAAGGACUUAAGAGCCAUUGCUAGGAGCUAAGGAAAAAGCAUUAUUAAUUUACUUCAUCACUGGCUUAUAGAAAGCCAACAGCUUUCUUCAAUCUUGUCAAAAUGAAGAGGAGAUGGCCUGAGGUACACGCAGGGUGAUUCUCAUACCAAAGGUGAAAAAGGAGAAAUUGCUUUAAGGUAUAGUAACUUGCUGUAAAAACGUGAUCCGUGUUCCCUUCUAGCUUUGAAAGGAGACUUUAUAAACUCCGUGGCCUUAGAUUUGUCAAUAUCCUUAUACUUAUUUUUUUAAUUUGAAAGUUUGUGAGAAAAUAGAAUGGAACCCCUAACUUUUUUGUGUUCUCGAUUAUCACUUCAUUGUAUAAGUAUUUGCUUAAUGAAACAUACAGUAAAUAUUGCACUGUAAAAUCUGCUGCAAUGUACUCAGUAUCUUCUGGAAUUAAUAGAAAAAAAAUACAAGAAUGCAGAAAAGGCACUAAUUUUUAUUUUAUCUAAUAAAAAUGUUACUUGACUGCA
rnacentral:lncRNA from 1 species